ensembl:lncRNA
UGAAGCAACUGGAGAUCCAUUCCCUGUCAGAAAGAAGGGGCAGAAAGUACAACCAGCAGCUGCAGCUGGCAGGGAAUGCUGGGCAGCCUGCUGACAUCCGACUGUCCCUGGAGGAUAAAUCCAAGGUGGACAUCACUGCCUGGGUGGGCUGUGUGACACUCUCUGCAGGCCAGCUUCAGAGAAUAUUAAGUAUGGAACACCUGCAUGCAUGUGGGUCUCUAGAGCAAAAAUCAACACUGUUUAAUGAAUAUCUAGAUCUGAACUGGGAUGACAAAAAAAUCAAACACAAUUUAACAUAUGAGAGAAAUCAAUUCUUGUAUCCUGAUAAAUUCCAGUUAGAAGCUGUCCUAGAAAAUAUUUUCCUGACCCCAUGCACCAAACAGAAGAUUCUGGGUAAAAUAGAAACAAACUACUGCUCUUCCCUGGAUCAUUAUACAAGCUUUGAGCUCUGUGACCUUCAAAAUGUAAUUGUUUUAUCUGGAAAACACCAGCUCAACAAAGAUAACAUCAUUUUGCAGUCAGAGGGCAGAUUCCACCUUGGUGAUCACAGGACAGAUGGGGGGUUGAUUGGAGUAUCCAUAAAGAAUCAGAGCACUGCUGAUGUGAAGAACUAUUCUAUGGAAAUUGAUUUAAGAGCCUUUGAAGAUAUUUGGCUAGGCCUGGCAGGAACUGCUACUUCCUCAUCUCUCCAGAGCCAAAUCCUGGUGGAGGGGAAUAUUGAUCAGAAAGAGAAAGUAAAAGUGGCAGCUUCAAAAGGAAAGGAGUGCAUUCAGUACUACCUGGGGUAUCUGAAAGGGGAUUUGGAAGAAGGAAUGGAAGUCAGUGCUUGUUCUGAUGGGCAGGAGAUGGCUGCCAUUAACACCUAUCUCAGCAUCAAUGGAGAAAGGCAGGAAAACACGGGACAAGUGACUCUAGCAGCUGCUAAUGGAAGCUUGAGUUUUCUGGCUCAUGGAUGCGGGGAUCCAGUUCUUAAGGCUGAGUACAAGCUUAAUGAAAUUGGGAGUCUUUUGAAAACCAAACUGAUGGAAAAGAUAAAGAAGUUUGAUGGAUACAUGUGGAGAUUCAGGAGAUCAGUGCAGCAAGUUGGUUUCCUGUCUGAAGCAGCUGGCUGGCCUUCCACAGCCUUGCAGAAGGCAGCAGGAUUCCUGCUCAGCGGGGGCAGAGCUGUCGCCCAGGCGUGGAAGCAAAGUGGAAUCGGGCAGAUCCUGAGGAGCAAGGUCCCGCUUUACCUGGAUAAAGUUCAAGGCAUUGUCCAGCAAAUGCAGAACGAAUUACAAAAGCCACUAGCAACUUUGAAGGAUGCCUACUAUGACGUAACCUUGAAGCCACUGGAUGAGGUCUGGAAAGAGAAGACAGAAGAGUACAUGAAGAAAAUCCAGGCUUUUUUACCCAAUAUUGUAAAGGAUGCAUGGCUCAUGGAACCAAUCCAGCUGGCAUUAAAGGUUGUGAAAGCAGCCUUGGAUACGACCACACAGCAGAUGUUCAGGUGGGCAGAGGCCACAUUUUCCAGAGCUGUGAGGAAGAUCCGGAAGCCCUUGCUCAACCUGUACAGUUUUUCAGCCAGGAACUGUUCCGUGGCAAUAAAACUGCCAGUACUGCCCAAAGGAGACCACUCCCUACAGCUGGCAAAUGUUCCUACUUAUCUCGUUCGAGAGAAAAUAAUGAGGCCUCUGCAAGACCUCUACAAAAUCAACAUCCUUGCAGAGUAUUAUAGAUUCAAACGGAGGAUGGUGGAGAGUCCCUUUGAAUAUCAUGCUCUGUUAGUGGGGACCAAGCAUCUUGUGACUUUUGAUGGAAAAAUUUAUGAUUUGGCAUCAAAGUGCAGUGUACUUCUUGCCAAGGAUUUUGUCCACAAUGCUUUCACUAUAAUACUAAGUGAGGAAACCAGUAACUCAAGAUCACUGUAUGUGGAGAUGAACCAGACUGUGAUCAGUAUCCACCCAAGACUGAAGAUCUCCAAGAUGUUCUCCUUUACAGAAGAGAACUGCCAAGUACUGGAUAAAUCACUUGAAAAGAAUACCACUAAUUCAAGGAGAGAAACCAACAAAAUAGAAAUAUCUAAUCAGAAAGGAGUUUCUCUAUCCUGUGACUUUCAGUAUGAUCUCUGUACUGUCACUCUGGCUGGGUGGCACCACGGUAUCUCAGCUGGGCUUUUUGGUACCAAUGAUAAUGAAGCUGGGAAUGAAUGGAUGCUUCCUAAUGGUUCCUUCACUGACAAUGUGCAAGAGUUCACACAGAGCUGGCAGGUGAACAAGUGCAGUCUUGUACCGAAGAAAGAGAAGUCAUGUCCAAUUACAGGCAAGCAAAACAUCUGCAAAGUGUUUUUUGAAGAACCACAUUCACUUCUUAGGAACUGCUUCAAAGUUGUGGACCCCGAGCCCUUCUACACCAUGUGUACACAGGACACCUGUGAGUCCCCAGCCCCGGGGGCUGCCUGCAGCUCAGCAGCAGCUUUUGUUCAUCUGUGCAACCGGAAUUUUGUCCCUGUGGAAAUCCCUCCACAGUGCUUGAGCCUGUUCUGAAUGGCACAUACCAGCCCUGGAGAUGGAAGAACCCUUUCAGCACCCAAAAAUAGAAGUUAUUUUAGGUAGACAAGCUAGAGGCAGGAGCAGGAGAACAGUAGCAGUGCAAAUGCAUUAGUGUUAGACAAUGAAUAUAAUGAAGCACAUAUAGUAUAAAAGGAAAGCUUUCCACCAGAACCCCUGAAGGCAAGAGGAAUUAUUUCAGUAUACUGACAAGAAACUAUAAUCAACCAAAGGAAAUUGAACAUAAUAGUAUCAAUUACUUUAAAAGAAUUCUCCCAUUCAGUGGCAAAAUUGUGUCUCCACAAGCCUUGAACCAUAGCAUAAAUACAUUUAAAAGCUGACAAAAGGUCUCUUCCAGCUCAGAUUAGUACAAGUGGAAUACUUUGUGAAAGCAGCAUUAUCAGCUUUGAGUCAGCAGAGAUGCUGACUUCUUUUUUCUCCAGAAAUGAAACUCUGCUGUUCAGCGGUUCUGGACAAAGUUAUCUUUUUUUUUUUUUUUUCAAGGGAAGUGCUCCAACACAUGAGAGCUACAGUAGAAAUGAGAUGGUUAAAUAAUUGAAAGCACUUGAUAAUUUUCUCAUUUUUAUGCUGGCUGAUUUUUCCCUUACUAACGUGUACACUGUUAAAUGAGAAACACCCUUCUUGGUAUCUGUGUACCAGUUUCACGUUCUCCCUUUGUGCCUUUAGAAGCCCUUUCUCAGAAAUCAGCUGAUGUGUUUGAAAAGGGUGAUUGAUAUCUAUCCAGCCCAUAAAGGUGCUAUAGCUGCUGUUGUGUGAAAACGUCUUAUCUGUUAAAUCCUUUUCUAUAUUUUAAGUCUAUUGAUUAAAGAAAUGCAUUACCUUUCUCCACCCCUACCUGGAAGGCAGCUAUUCCUCAGCAAAAGGUUAACACUGCAAAAUCCUUCCCUUGCCUUUACAUAACAUGCAAACGUUGAAAUAAUGGUGUUCUGAACUAGGAGAUAAUGCUAAUAAACAUUUGACUUCCUUAUUGUUAUGCUGGAGU